rnacentral:rRNA from 1 species
AAUUUUGGACAAUGGGGGCAACCCUGAUCCAGCCAUCCCGCGUGUGCGAUGAAGGCCUUCGUGUUGUAAAGCACUGUUGGCAGGGAAGAAAAGGCACUGGCUAAUACCUGGAGCUGCUGACGGUACCUGCAGAAUAAGCACAGGCUAACUACGUGCCAGCAGCCGCGGUAAUACGUAGGGUGCAAGCGUUAAUCGGAAUUACUGGGCGUAAAACGUGCGCGUGCGGUUCGGCAAGAAGGAUGUGACAUCCCAGGGCUUAACCUUGGAACUGCAUUCUUAACUGCCGGGCUAGAGUAUGUCAGAGGGGGGUAGAAUUCCGCGUGUAGCAGUGAAAUGCGUAGAGAUGCGGAGGAAUACCGAUGGCGAAGGCAGCCCCCUGGGAUAACACUGACGCUCAGGCACGAAAGCGUGGGGAGCAAAC